AAAAUGGUAAAGAUUUUAGGUAGUAUUGGAUGGCUUAAAACUUAAAAAUUUUGGCGGUGUUUUAAUCUUAUCAGAGGAAUCUGUUUUAUAAUCGAUAAUACACGACUUAUCUUACUUAAAUUAGAAGUUUGUAUAUCGUUGUGAUAAUAAUAUUUUAUAAUUAUUAUUGGAGGUAAUUUUAUUUUUGAUAUCAGAUCAAGGUUCAGCUUAUAUUUAAGAGAAAAAUGGAUUACAAUAUAAAAAUAUAUUAUGGAAAUCAUUAUUAAUAAAUGAAGGAAGGAGGAUUUGAAAGUAUUUUUGUAGUAGUAUGUUAGAUUGAAUUAGCUCUAAAACAUGC
rnacentral:rRNA from 1 species